rnacentral:rRNA from 1 species
CAGCCGCCGCGGUAAUACGAAGGGGGCUAGCGUUGUUCGGAAUCACUGGGCGUAAAGCGCACGUAGGCGGAUUUUUAAGUCAGGGGUGAAAUCCCGAGGCUCAACCUCGGAACUGCCUUUGAUACUGGAGAUCUUGAGUUCGGAAGAGGUUGGUGGAACAGCUAGUGUAGAGGUGAAAUUCGUAGAUAUUAGCUAGAACACCAGUGGCGAAGGCGGCCAACUGGUCCGACACUGACGCUGAGGUGCGAAAGCGUGGGGAGCAAACAGGAUUAGAUACCCCCGUAGUCCCUGUCUCUUAUAA